rnacentral:rRNA from 1 species
GUGAGGAAUAUUGGUCAAUGGGCGAGAGCCUGAACCAGCCAAGUCGCGUGAAGGAAGAAGGAUCUAUGGUUCGUAAACUUCUUUUGCAGGGGAAUAAAGUGCGGGACGUGUCCUGUUUUGUAUGUACCCUGAGAAUAAGGAUCGGCUAACUCCGUGCCAGCAGCCGCGGUAAUACGGAGGAUCCGAGCGUUAUCCGGAUUUAUUGGGUUUAAAGGGUGCGUAGGUGGUUUGAUAAGUCAGCGGUGAAAGUUUGCAGCUUAACUGUAAAAAUGCCGUUGAAACUGUCGGACUUGAGUGUAAAUGAGGUAGGCGGAAUGCGCGGUGUAGCGGUGAAAUGCAUAGAUAUCGCGCAGAACUCCGAUUGCGAAGGCAGCUUACUAAGCUACAACUGACACUGAAGCACGAAAGCGUGGGGAUCAAACAGGAUUAGAAACCCGAGUAGUCC